UGUGUUUACUUUUAAGAGCCAAUCUGCCAGAAAACCAUGCAAAACCUCCCGAAUGUUACUUUACCAAAUUAAAUGAGUUCAAAUUUGGCACAUUGGUUAACCUUAGCAGAGGCAUAUAUGUAUUAUAUGUCUCUGACCUUAGUAAUGUAAAUAACCACGCAAUUAAUUUUUUUUUUUUGAAAAUAAUGACACGUUCUGGAUUUUUUUUUUUUGGGGGGGGGGGGCAUCUAUAUCAGAUGAAAUUGCUUGAAAACAACAAAAAUAAGCCUUAUUAAUCAUAAUAUACACUAAAUAUAUAUCCAGUCUGACGGCCACGGUUUCUUAGCGACAUUGACUGGCUAUACAGCCCUUGCAAAUCCUUGCACGGUCAUUUGCAAUCUGAUGAUGUUAGUUUUUAACGACCUUGACAAGCUAUAUACAGCCCUUGCACAGUCGGCCCUUGGGUUGCUCCUAGUUGGGUAUAAUUUUAAAAUAUACUAAUUAUUUACGACCUAAAGCUAAGGUAAUUGGUGUAACUGUUAAUUAACAGUGUUUUUGAAAAGCUGUCAAGUGAAGCCAUGCACUAAAUGGGUAUCUGUAUGAAUACGUUGUCGAUACCAAUACUGGCUUAAAUACAACGGUUUGAGAGAGCGCUCUCUACGCUUGAUGUGCGCACUACAGUGUCGUCUUGUUGAUUCCACGCGAUCACUGUCUUUACAAAUAAUGAGUUUAAGUAUUGUGGUGUUUUGCUUGGUGAAAGAUCAAAACACUUAGAGUUGUUCUUUGCUUACUUUUCCACAAUAUAUGUUGCUUGGUAUUCUUCAAAUUUCUUGGCAGUUAUGUUUCUCUUAGGACGUGCCUUUCUGAGAAGUUCGUCUGGUUCAAUAGCGGGAAUCAGCCCCUCAGCCACUUUGUACAUAAAUAUUAACUUCUGGCUUGUUCGUCUGGUCUGGAGGUCUUGUAUAGUUCCAGUUGGGCAAGCAUUUUGGGGACACAUCCGUCCUCUCUUGACUUGUAAUCUCUGGUGAUAAAUAUUGCCGCUUAACGUUGUAUCCUUUCAAGCUUAUUUAUGUUUGUUAACGUGUAGGGGUUCCAUACUAUGGCUCCAUAUUUCAUCGUUGAUCUGACGAGCGAGAUGUAGGCUGGGGUUUUUUUUUUUGCAUUCUUGUGGGCAGUAUUUCAAAUUUCUUCUUAGAGAGCCUAGUGUUGAUUUUGCUUUCUUUGCCACGUAUGAUAUGUGGGUUGUCCAUUUAAGGUCUUCCGAAAUUUGUAGGCCUAGGUAUGGGUUAUGAUGGAGUUGUUGUAGUAUGUGUCCAUUUAAACUGUAGAAUUUAUGGCUCUUGUUUCUUUCUGAUGCUUAGGAUGUAGCAUUUUUUUGGCGCUGAGCCGCAUUCCCCAGUUAUCAGCCCAUACUUCUAGGUUUUUGAGCACAGGCACUUGUCUCAGAAUUUGUUUUCCCUAUAUACCUUAAUAUAACACAAGGUACUUUACUAAUUUUUUUGAAAAAUGACACCCAGUCCCGAAUCCCCUUUGUUUUUCGAUUUCUCGGUUGUCAAACCUACUUAAACUUAUUAUGCCGUAAAUCUAAAUUGAUUUAUCUACACAAUGGUAUAAAUAACUCAUCAUAGAUACCAGGACUAAAUU
rnacentral:lncRNA from 1 species